rnacentral:rRNA from 1 species
UCAGUAACGGCGAGUGAAGCGGCAACAGCUCAAAUUUGAAAGCUGGCUCUUGCAGAGCCCGCGUUGUAAUUUGUAGAGGAUGCUUCAGGCGCGGCGCUGGUCUAAGUUCUUUGGAACAAGACGUCAUAGAGGGUGAGAAUCCCGUAUGUGACUAGCUGCCUGUGCCUGUGUGAAGCUCCUUCGACGAGUCGAGUUGUUUGGGAAUGCAGCUCAAAAUGGGUGGUGUACUUCAUCUAAAGCUAAAUAUUGGCCAGAGACCGAUAGCGCACAAGUAGAGUGAUCGAAAGAUGAAAAGCACUUUGGAAAGAGAGUUAAACAGUACGUGAAAUUGUUGAAAGGGAAGCGCUUGCAAUCAGACUUGCGCGGCGUCGAUCAGCCUGGGUUCUCCCUGGUGCACUCGGCGCUGCUCAGGCCAGCAUCAGUUUCAGCGGUUGGAUAAAGGCCUAGGGAACGUGGGUUACUUCGGUGACUGUUAUAGCCCUAGGUGCAAUGCAGCCUGUUGGGACUGAGGACCGCGCUUCGGCUAGGAUGCUGGCGUAAUGGUUGUAAGCGACCCGUCUUGAAACACGGACCAAGGAGUCUAACAUCUAUGCGAGUUUUUGGGUGUUAAACCCAUAAGCGUAAUGAAAGUGAACGGAGGUGAGAACCCUUAAGGGUGCAUCAUCGACCGAUCCUGAUGUCUUCGGAUGGAUUUGAGUAAGAGCAUAACUGUUGGGACCCGAAAGAUGGUGAUCUAUACUUGAAUAGGGUGAAGCCAGAGGAAACUCUGGUGGAGGCUCGCAGCGGUUCUGACGUGCAAAUCGAUCGUCAAAUUUGAGUAUAGGGGCGAAAGACUAAUCGAA